AAGUGGCGAAAGGGGCAGUAAGGCAUGGAUAACCUACCUCGGGGAUCGGGAUAGCCUUCCUAACGGAAGGGUAAUACCGGGCGAGCUAACGAAGGGGCAUCUCUUUGUUAGGAAAUGAAUUUCGCCUUGAGAGGGGUUCAUGUAGUAUUAGCUUGUUGGUGGGGUAACGGCUCACCAAGGCCAAGAUGCUUAGCGGGUGUGAGAGUGCCGGCCCGCGCCACUGGCACUGAGACACUGGCCAGACUCCUACGGGAGGCUGCAGUCGAGGAUCUUCGGCAAUGGGCGCAAGCCUGACCGAGCGACGCCGCGUGUGCGAUGAAGGCCUUCGGGUUGUAAAGCACUGUCGAGGGGGAGAAAAGCCCGNCAGGGUCUGAUCUAUCCCUGGAGGAAGCACGGGCUAAGUUCGUG
rnacentral:rRNA from 1 species